rnacentral:lncRNA from 1 species
GCCAAGAUCACGAACACUUUUACAGAUUAAUAAUAUCUCUUAUACACCCAUGUUCGUGCGUACCAUCGAAGUGAAUUUGUAUUGGAUGAAGUACCAGAGGAAAAAGAGAGCCAUAUUACCGGUCGUGAAAGAGUUAAUAUGUCUCUUCAUCCGUCUGACUGUUGUGAGAAUGAAAAAGAAAGAAAGAAAGAAAGAAUGAAAGAAAA